ACUCUACAGCUGCUCCCUAGAGAGGUGGGGAGUUGGCAACAGACCUUGAGGCAUAAGCCCUGAGAUCCUGCCUUAAAAUACAGACUCUGGCAAGAACCUGAGAAGGGGUGAAAUAGCCAAAAGGAGCAACAGUAAUCCAGAGGGAGGCCAGAAGAUAGGAAGGAGCCCAGGGGAACUGCAACAAGAUUACAGUCUUCUCAAGCUCCAGUUGCUGGGCAUAGGUUCCCUGGGCUGGAAUCCUGAGUAGUGGCCUUGGUUCCCCUACCAGCCACUGGGGAAGUGGCACAGAUUGGGCAGUGGAGGCGAAGACUACCUGAGACUGUUUGUCCAGUAGGACUUUGAUAAUCCACAAGUGUAGGAUUAUCGUGACCUGGCUGGAGGGGCAAGCCACGAAGAGGCAACACUAGAGUUGAGAGAGGAACCCCAAUGGUGCAGUAAAUAGCUGAAGGAGACGAUGGUUAUGCCCCUGCACUAAAGAGGCAAGUGGAUGGAGACUAAACUCUGGAGAUUCAUUUUCAUAAACCCAGGGGCCCCAGUAAACAGAAGGAAGGAGUCAAGUUCCAUUGCUGGCUGUAUCUCAGAAAACAAUGUGCUCCAAUUCCAGUUCCUUGAGAUACAAUCUACACAUUGGUCCUGGCUCCCUUGUUGGCCAUUUCAUUAAAGUAGCAGCAAGGAUAUAAAAUUCGAUUAAAUUCUACAGGAUGAUUUUAAAACAAAUCAAACAAACCAAGAAGUUGGAGUAGAUCAGGUAGUCACACUGGAUUACCAGAAUGGUCCUUUCUGCCCUUAAAAUCUAUGAACCUACAGAGAGGUUACCAUUUUCCAUUCAGCAUAAUAGGAGCUCUUAGGUGCUGUGGUAAUACAACUGUAUUACUAAUAAAUAACUAAAUAAUACAGUAGGUAUGACUGGGCCCUAAGCCAGGACAGGGUUUGCUUUUAAUAUAUGUGGUAGAUUGGAAACCCCGAGGAAAAUUAUGGACCUGCAACUGAGAGUAAAAUUAGGUUGAAGAU